GGGCAUAAAGGAGAAGAAAUGGCAGAUGCAAUCCUAACAUUUCUUAAUAGUGUAUGGACUAACCAUACAAGAGUGCCGUGGACAAAGUUACGACUAUGCAAGCAACAUGUCAGGCCACUACAAGGGUUAGAGAGAAGAAACUGCCCUAGUUUAGAGAUGUACCAAAUCAUUAAAUCUGGCCUAACUUAUAAACCAAGGAAUGAAAUAUAGAUGAACCAGGGUUGAUCACAUUGGUAGAGGACAUGCCUUUUCUUCCUCAGCUGAAGAGGAUCUCAUGAUAGCCAACACCAUGUGGAGCUAGGCUCAUCAACCGGGAGAAGCACCCUCCUGAUACCAUGGACGCAUUUCAAAUGUAAACGGUUUGCCACCUUGAGCAAUUCAAAUUAAAAUAUUUUUCUUCCAUAGCCCUGUUGUGACAAGCUAAAUAAAAAUGCUACUGUGUCUUGCA